AACAAAAUAAAAAGAAAAUGCCUUUAGAUGUGGUUGGAUUCUCAUAUUCGUUAUUUAUUAUUGUAGGAGGUUUAUACGGAUUUCUUGCAGCUGGAUCUCUUCCUUCACUACUAGCUGGCCUUUUAUUUGGUAUAAUAUCAGGAUUUGGAGCAUGGAGAGUAAGUAAAGACCCAUCGAAAUACUUAAUUCAACUUUUAGCAGCAUUCAUUUUGGCUUGUGUUAUGGGUGUCCGAUACUACCAAUCUGGAAAAACCUUACCAGGCAUUGUGUGUAUUGUGUCAACAUUUGUAGUUGUGUGGGUCAUAUUCAGAAAACUUACUUUUAAUACCAGAGAAAAAAUAAAGUGUAUGAAAAAUUCACUUUUGAAUUAAAACAUCUCUUUUUUGAUAA